UACGGGGGGGGGCAAGCGUUGUUCGGAAUUACUGGGCGUAAAGGGCUCGUAGGCGGCCAACUAAGUCAGACGUGAAAUCCCUCGGCUUAACCGGGGAACUGCGUCUGAUACUGGAUGGCUAGAGUUUGGGAGAGGGAUGCGGAAUUCCAGGUGUAGCGGUGAAAUGCGUAGAUAUCUGGAGGAACACCGGUGGCGAAGGCGGCAUCCUGGACCGGCAUUGACGCUGAGGCGCGAAAGCCAGGGGAGCAAACGGG
rnacentral:rRNA from 1 species